CUAUUACACCCAUCGACUAUAAUAGCCAUUCAUUCCCUUCAAUGCUGAAUAGGGAUUUCAUCCGAUGUUUCUUUCCUAUUUUUCAUUUUCUGCCCUCAGCUUCAUCUUCUCCUACGUUUUUUUCUUUUCCAAAUUGCAGAGAUUGAAUGCAAAGCAACCGAUGGGAGAAGAAAACAAGAAGAUUAGGAAAGAAGAGGUAAUUGCAAAGCUCAAGGACGAUGGUGACUUCGACAAGCUCCGUCUCAAAAUCAUCCGCAAGCUCAAGGACAACGUACGUUCUUUCUUCUUCUUUUUUUAAUCACCAAUAUUAUCUACUUUUUUUAGCUUUUAUAUAUUUUUUCUAGGAUUAAGGUAAAAGUUUUAGAAUGCUGAACUUUUGGGUAACCUGGAAAUCAUGGAUGCUUGUUGUCUGUGAUUGUUUGCUUGAAUGGGUUUUGUCUUGAUUUUGAGUUUUAGGUAUUUUCAUGGAAUUUAAUUUGAUUAUUAUAUCCGGGUAAAAUUUAUUAAUUUCAAAUUCAAGGCCAUGUUUGAUUAA